ACAGGGAUUGCCCCAGUAACGGCGAGUGAAGCGGCAACAGCUCAAAUUUGAAAUCUGGUCCCUAGGGCCCGAGUUGUAAUUUGUAGAGGAUGCUUUUGGUGAGGUGCCGCCCGAGUUCCCUGGAACGGGACGCCACAGAGGGUGAGAGCCCCGUCUGGCUGGCCGCCGAGCCUCUGUAAAGCUCCUUCGACGAGUCGAGUAGUUUGGGAAUGCUGCUCAAAAUGGGAGGUAUAUGUCUUCUAAAGCUAAAUAUUGGCCAGAGACCGAUAGCGCACAAGUAGAGUGAUCGAAAGAUGAAAAGCACCUUGAAAAGAGGGUUAAAUAGUACGUGAAAUUGUUGAAAGGGAAGCGCUUGUGACCAGACUUGGGCGCGGCGGAUCAUCCGGGGUUCUCUCCGGUGCACUUCGCCGCGUCUAGGCCAGCAUCAGUUCGUCGCGGGGGAAAAAGGCUUCGGGAACGUGGCUCCUCCGGGAGUGUUAUAGCCCGUUGCAUAAUACCCUGCGGUGGACUGAGGACCGCGCAUCUGCAAGGAUGCUGGCGUAAUGGUCACCAGCGACCCGUCUUGAAACACGGACCAAGGAGUCGUCUUCGUAUGCGAGUGUUCGGGUGUCAAACCCCUACGCGUAAUGAAAGUGAACGCAGGUGAGAGCUUCGGCGCAUCAUCGACCGAUCCUGAUGUUCUCGGAUGGAUUUGAGUAAGAGCAUACGGGGCCGGACCCGAAAGAAGGUGAACUAUGCCUGUAUAGGGUGAAGCCAGAGGAAACUCUGGUGGAGGCUCGCAGCGGUUCUGACGUGCAAAUCGAUCGUCAAAUAUGGGCAUGGGGGCGAAAGACUAAUCGAACCUUCUAGUAGCUGGUUCCGC
rnacentral:rRNA from 1 species